UUYUUAUAGAAAUUAUUAUAAGUAAAACCUGCUCAAUGAAUAUUUAAUAGCCGCAGAAAAUUUACUGUGCUAAGGUAGCAUAAUCAUUAGUUUUUUAAUUAAAGACCAGUAUGAAAGGUUAAACAUUUAAUUAUCUUUUUUUAUUUAUAUUUAUUUAAAUUAAAUUAAUAAUAAAAAUGUUAUUAUAUAAUAAAAAGACGAUAAGACCCUGUCGAACUUUACUGUAGUUAAGCUGGGGCAGCUUAUUAAUUAUAAUUUUAACUAAAAUACUAAAAUAAACCUCUAAAAUUGAUAUUUAAUUAAGUUACCGCAGGGAUAACAGCGUAAUUUUUUUUUAAAGUUCAUAUUAAAAAAAAAGUUUACGACCUCGAUGUUGAAUUAAUUUUCUCUAAAAUGCAAAAAUUUUACUAGAAGGUCUGUUCGACCUAUAAAUAAUUACA
rnacentral:rRNA from 1 species